rnacentral:rRNA from 1 species
UACAGAGGGUGCAAGCGUUGUUCGGAAUUAUUGGGCGUAAAGCGCGUGUAGGCGGCUUUGCAAGUCGGGUGUGAAAGCCCUCAGCUUAACUGAGGAAGUGCGCCCGAAACUGCAGAGCUUGAAUACCGGAGAGGAUGGCGGAAUUCCCCAAGUAGAGGUGAAAUUCGUAGAUAUGGGGAGGAACACCGGUGGCGAAGGCGGCCUCCUGGGCCAGCACUGACGCUCAUGCACGAAAGCGUGGGGAGCAAACAGG